UACGGGGGGGGCAAGCGUUGUUCGGAAUUACUGGGCGUAAAGGGCUCGUAGGCGGCCAACUAAGUCGGACGUGAAAUCCCCAGGCUCAACCUGGGAACUGCAUCCGAUACUGGAUGGCUUGAAUUCGGGAGAGGGAUGCAGAAUUCCAGGUGUAGCGGUGAAAUGCGUAGAUAUCUGGAGGAACACCGGUGGCGAAGGCGGCAUCCUGGACCAACACUGACGCUGAGGAGCGAAAGCCAGGGGAGCAAACGGG
rnacentral:rRNA from 1 species